UGUGGGAGGGGGCUUGCUCCCGAUAGCGGUGUGUCAGUCAACAAUUGUUCAUCUGACCCACCGCAUCGGGGGCAAGCCCCCUCCCACA
rnacentral:antisense_RNA from 2 species